CAGUCGCCGCGGUAAUACGAAGGGUGCAAGCGUUAAUCGGAAUUACUGGGCGUAAAGCGUGCGUAGGCGGUGAGUUAAGUCUGCUGUGAAAUCCCCGGGCUCAACCUGGGAAUGGCAGUGGAUACUGGCUCGCUAGAGUGUGUCAGAGGAUGGUGGAAUUCCCGGUGUAGCGGUGAAGUGCGUAGAGAUCGGGAGGAACAUCAGUGGCGAAGGCGGCCAUCUGGGACAACACUGACGCUGAGGCACGAAAGCGUGGGGAGCAAACAGGAUUAGAUACCCCCGUAGUCCCUGUCUCUUAUAC
rnacentral:rRNA from 1 species